rnacentral:rRNA from 1 species
AGUGAACGCUGGCGGCAGGCCUAACACAUGCAAGUCGAGCGGCAGCGGGUCCCCGCGAGGGGAUGCCGGCGAGCGGCGGACGGGUGAGGAACACAUCGGAAUCUGCCUGGUUGUGGGGGAUAACGUAGGGAAACUUACGCUAAUACCGCAUGCGACCCUGAGUCGACGGGCUGGGGGUGAAAGUGAGGGACCUUCGGGCCUCACGCGACCAGAUGAGCCGAUGUCGGAUUAGCUAGUUGGCGGGGUAACGGCCCGCCAAGGC